rnacentral:lncRNA from 1 species
CCCCAAUAUUGUUCACCACUGCUGUGCUCUCCAUCCCCUUCGAUUGGAGCUUGAUAGAGGAACACCUUUUCUUGGCCAAUGAAUUUGUGAGAGAGUAAAUCCGUUUCUGGGCACUAUAGAGUUCAUUACAAAGUCAGACAACCUUCUCGGUAGCACCCCAUCUAGCUUCCUCGGUAGCUUUGGUAGAGUCAAUGUGCUGCUCCAAAGUCAAUAUCUUCUCUCAAGCUGAGUGAAGCUCACUCUAAUAUUGGGCGACCUUCACAGCUGAACCCCAUGUCUUGCCAAUCGCUUGCAUUCCUCGAUCAACUGGGCCCUUUCUGAGAUGUGCGCCUUAUCUCCUACCAAAUACAAGAUUGAAGAUGCUUAAUCUCUACCGAAGUUUCAUUAUAACUUUUCUUCAUUUUUAAAAGCAUCCGCUUGGCUUUGACAGCCCUCUUCUUAGUGCGACUGGCAUCUUUCUCUAGAGUAUCAAGGCAGGCCUUGAUCGACACCACUUGUGGUAAGGGAUCAGCUUCAAGAAA